rnacentral:rRNA from 1 species
AGCUCCAAUAGCGUAUAUUAAAGUUGUUGCAGUUAAAAAGCUCGUAGUUGGAUUUCUGGUAGGAGGAAUCAGUCCAGCACUAUGUGUGGGAAUUUGUAUCCUGUCGGGCCAUCCAUGGGUGGAUCUUGUCUAGCAUUAAGUUGUCAGUCAGGGUAUGCCCAUCGUUUACUGUGAAAAAAUUAGAUUGUUCAAAGUAGGCUUAUGCUAUUGAAUCUAUUAUCAUGGAAUAAUAAGAUAGGGCCCUGGUACUAUUUUGUUAGUUUGCGUACCGAGUUAGUGAUUAAUAGGGACAGUUGGGGGUAUUCAGUACUCAGUAUUCAGUGGUGAAAUACUUAGACCUACAGAAGACAAAAUACUGCAAAAAAAUUCACGAGGAUGUUUUCA